GAUGAACGCUAGCUACAGGCUUAACACAUGCAAGUCGCGGGGCAGCAUGGGGGUUGCUUGCAAUCCCCGAUGGCGACCGGCGCACGGGUGAGUAACGCGUAUCCAACCUGCCCUUCACCACGGGAUAACCCGGCGAAAGUCGGACUAAUACCGUAUGUUGUCCAUUGACGGCAUCCGAUUUGGACGAAAGGCUUGGCGGUGAGGGAUGGGGAUGCGUCCGAUUAGCCAGACGGCGGGGUAACGGCCCACCGUGGCUACGAUCGGUAGGGGUUCUGAGAGGAAGGUCCCCCACACUGGAACUGAGACACGGUCCAGACUCCUACGGGAGGCAGCAGUGAGGAAUAUUGGUCAAUGGGCGUAAGCCUGAACCAGCCAAGUAGCGUGCAGGAUGACGGCCCUAUGGGUUGUAAACUGCUUUUAUGCGGGGAUAAAGUGGCCCACGUGUGGGUUUUUGCAGGUACCGCAUGAAUAAGGACCGGCUAAUUCCGUGCCAGCAGCCGCGGUAAUACGGAAGGUCCGGGCGUUAUCCGGAUUUAUUGGGUUUAAAGGGAGCGUAGGCCGCGCCUUAAGCGUGUUGUGAAAUCCGGGUGCUCAACAUCCGGCUUGCAGCGCGAACUGGGGCGCUUGAGUGCGCAGAAAGUGGGCGGAAUUCGUGGUGUAGCGGUGAAAUGCUUAGAUAUCACGAGGAACUCCGAUUGCGAAGGCAGCCUACUGUAGCGCUACUGACGCUGAUGCUCGAAAGCGUGGGUAUCGAACAGG
rnacentral:rRNA from 1 species